GCAACAAUUAACGUAAUAUUCGGUGAACUCAUCGACGUGUACUUAUUAUUAACAACAAGUGGCUUAACAAGAACUCCGGUACCAAAUUCAAGAAAGAAAAUCCGUAGACCUUUGCAUUAAAAUUCUUAUGAUGAAGAAGAUUUUGAUUCUGGCGCUACCGCUAUUUUUGUGCAUGUUGGUACAUUCACGGAAGGAAGCAAACUAUCUUUCACACCUCCAGUUCCCCAAGAAUACCGGUGUUAUUUGUUUGUCUAUGCCAUGCGCCAUUGUUCCCUACAACUUCGAUGGACGAGUAAUAGACAUAAUUAAAGGAUCUUGCGAUUGCCCAGAUGAUAAGAAGUGCAUCUAUUUCAAAGAAACUGUGUUCAACUGUACGGAUCUGGAUAUCUGCGGGCCUUCGUACGGUAACCAUGCUGCACGUGAAUAUCGUUGCUUUGCCCCCUGCACCUUUAACUAGAGAAAGUCUGUAACUGAAGAUAUCCCGGGCUGGAAAAAAGCCCCAAUAUCGAUAAAGAACACAAUACAUAUUUUCUGUUUUUCAGACUGUUCUCAUUGAAUAAUUCUGCCUAAUCUUAUUUUGAAUUUACGGUUUAGUGUUAUUCAAACAUUGUAAAACUAAUUUUCAUCAUUUCAAUUUGAAUAAAGUGUU